CUUGGUUCCGGCGCAGAUUUCG
rnacentral:miRNA from 1 species